UGCUCUGUACUUGCAGUUUUUCCACCCUCCCACUUCUCUCUCUCUUUAUUUGUCUCUCUCUCUCUCCCUCUCAAGUGCAAGGCCAUGUGGGACGUCUGAUGAGGAGUUUCACCCCUCCGCGUCUCCAGUUUCAUAUCUCUCUUUCCCUCUUCACCGUUCUUUGGCUUUCCGUACGGGUUCCUCGAGCUCCGCUGUCUUUGCAAGGUGGAGACCCGCUGGAGACUAGUUUAAAGAGUUGAGCGGCCGAAUCCAUCGGGACCCGAAGCCCACGCCAGCGCAGCGCCGGGCCCCUCGGAGUGCUAAAAACCUGCGGGAUUUGCCAUUUGGAAGUACUGACCUGCGACUUACCCAUUCCCGAUCCGUUCGGACAGGAGAUUCAGGAGUGAAGCUGCGCCGCUUUGGGACAGGUGCCAGUUGCAAAAGGCGAGUGAAAAUAUCAGUGAUCUGCAUGAUCUGCAUGAGGAAACAUUGGGGGUGAGCAGAAAACACAAACGCGCAAACGUCCGUGCAACUAUCGGAAAAAAAAAGUGAAGGAUGGUUGCAAGGGGAGGGGGAGACAGAAAAAGUGGAUCGUGAAAGAGGAGGUGGGGGGUGUUUAUUCAAGCCUGCUUGAUGCUCCUCGGACCUUCGAGAGCUGAUCGCAUGUGCCGCGGUAACCGCGGGACCAUUUGCAUACGGCAGACACGCUAAUUGUAUGUUUGCUAACAUGCACCAUUCAGCAAGACGCGCUCCAGUUCGCAGACGGGGUUCACACACGCCUCCCAGACACCUCGGAGGCCUCCUAUUGUUCCAGAGGCCCAGCCAAGCAGCCGGCGAGCCUAACCAGAGCCCUGCGCUGGCCUGCAGAGCGGGAGAACUGGAAUUCGAGACCAGACGGGAUAGCAGGAUAGUGGAUAGACUCACAGCCCCUCUCUCUUUCUCUCCGCAGCAAGAAAAAAGAGGCCUGUGGAAAGCGCUGCCUCCGGGCGCUGACGUCCUCGCAGAUGUGUGCACAAGAGAAGUUUGAAAUGGACUAACCAAGAUGCUGCCCUGCACAGGAUCACUAUAAUCGUCAUUAUAUGGAAAGAGCAGAAAGAAGAAAAUUCUCCUUAUGUGUUUCACAGACGAGUUUGAGCAACAUGCGGAGACUGAUCUUUCCUUUCCUUAUUACUGAAGAACACACUGACCAUAAAAGCAGAUCCUGACAGAGACUCAUCUCUCUUUAUUACAGACGGAAGGAGAGACGCGCAGUGAUGAGACUGAGAUGAGUUUGAAAGGUGCCGGUUCAAAUCCACACACGCAAUUUUUCACUAACGUGUUUAUCUUUUAGGCUGCUUUUACACUUAAAUUGAUUGCUUGUUUCAUAUCUGAGUUCAUUUCCGCUCU